rnacentral:rRNA from 1 species
AUUGAACGCUGGCGGCAGGCCUAACACAUGCAAGUCGAACGAGUGGCGGACGGGUGUGUAAUGUCUGGGAAACUGCCUGAUGGAGGGGGAUCACUACGGGAAACUGUAGCUUAUACCGCAUACCCUCCUAUGUGCCCAUAUGGGAUUAGCUAGUAGGUGGGGUAAAGGCUUACCUAGGCGACGAUCCCUCGCUGGUCUGAGAGGAUGACCAGCCACACUGGAACUGAGACACGGUCCAGACUCCUACGGGAGGCAGCAGUGGGGAAUAUUGCACAAUGGGCGCAAGCCUGAUGCAGCCAUGCCGCGUGUAUGAAGAAGGCCUUAGGGUUGUAAAGUACUUUCAGCGGGGAGGCGUUACCCGCAGAAGAAGCACCGGCUAACUCCGUGCCAGCAGCCGCGGUAAUUC